AAGUGAACAUAACAAAUAAAGCAAAUAUUGUUUUAUUUGACAGCCCGUGAUGUAGUUCACAUUUGCAGGUAACAUACUACUAAAAAUCCCCAACUGUUAUCCUGUGUAAUAUCAGUGAUUUCUUGCACCAUCCCGACCUUUUGAACUGUAAUGUCAUUGCCUCUCUAAACAUGGCGCCUAAAUCCCACCAUGCCUCUUUAUGACGUCAAAAAG